GCGUUUCAAGUUUAUAUUAUGAAUUAGUGACAAUUUGGUUAAAAACAAGCUACUGAAAAUACUUUUAUAUGGAUGCAUUUUAGCGUAUUAAGUGCUGUUUAUACCAAAAGGACAUUAUGGAAUCAUUUUAUGAAAAUUUUCAAGCUUGGAUUUAGUUGUUAGAAUACCAUACUUCUUUUUAAACAAGUGUCCCAGAGUGUCUAGGAUUACAAGCCGUGGUUACCAGUACAUCAUCUAAGUCAAGCAUCACUAGCAGCAUGCAGAAUAAACAAACGAUGGUAAUGUUGGAAAUUAAAGAAUAAGGAAAUGCUGCCAAAAAUUACGAUUGUAAAACGUAAAAUGCUGCGAAAAAUGGCACAUUUUUCCUACUACGUUCCGCAUACUUGAAAACUAGAGUUGUGCUACAUAAAACGAUUGCUAAUAUCCGAAAGGUACCUUAAAACUUUGAAGUAGAGAUUUGCUUUUUAAAGACCAUUUGUUUUCAUAGUGCAUUACACACAGAUGAAAAAUGUGUCGUCAAAACUACUAGAAUAUUGUAAAAUGGGUAAUGCUUUUUGUAAAAUUAACAAUAAAAUACUGU